rnacentral:lncRNA from 10 species
CCCCGGAUUCGGGGCUGGAAGUCCCUCCCCGAACCCAGCAGCUGGCCUGGGAGGGAGAAGGGGCUGGAGAGGGCCUGGCCUCUCCGAGGGAUGGAGGGGACAGAGGCGGCGGCGGCCAAACCCGCGGGCGGCAGCCCCCAAGGAGAAGAAGGAGAUGCAAAGAGAAACUUGCUGCAUUCUAGAUUAACUCAUAGAACAAAUUAUUUCUGUCCUCCUAAAGAUAAUCCUUAAACUUUACUGGCUUAAAACUGGUGUGACAUUUCGCAUUAUAUGUGUAUUUUGCUUUAUAAAAUAUGUGCAUUCCUGAAAGCUUGUGUAUAAAUUGAAUUGUAAUAAACGACUACAGAGAGACUUGCCAUUUAA